rnacentral:misc_RNA from 1 species
GAUGAAGAACGCAGCGAAAUGCGAUACGUAAUGUGAAUUGCAGAAUUCAGUGAAUCAUCGAGUCUUUGAACGCACAUUGCGCCCCCUGGUAUUCCGGGGGGCAUGCCUGUCCGAGCGUCAUUGCUGCCCUCAAGCACGGCUUGUGUGUUGGGCCUCCGUCCUCCUCCGGGGGACGGGCCCGAAAGGCAGCGGCGGCACCGCGUCCGGUCCUCGAGCGUAUGGGGCUUCGUCACCCGCUCUUGUAGGCCCGGCCGGCGCUUGCCGACACAUCAAUCUUUUUUCCAGGUUGACCUCGGAUCAGGUAGGGAUACCCGCUGAACUUAAGCAUAUCAUAGCGGAGGA